ACUGUUUUGGCAGAUUUAAUGUAAUAGGUUUAGGGUCUAUUUAUGUAGUUUAUUUUACAAACAGUA
rnacentral:tRNA from 1 species